rfam:Eucalyptus grandis cultivar BRASTZ1 unplaced genomic scaffold scaffold_11, whole genome shotgun sequence.
GGAGGAUCGAUGAUGUAAUUAAUUACUGCGUUAUCUAUCUGCAGCUUCCCCCCGUGGGAGUGAAGAAAUCGAUACACGCUGAGAUCCCCA